ACGGAAUCACACUGACUCUGUCGCCCCGGAAUCUGCAGGAGAGGAGGAGGCGGUGCGGGAGGAGGGGGCAGUGAAAGAGGCCUUAAAUAUCAUUCUUUGUUUCUACGCAUUACCAGUUUAUUUUUGGAGCCGCUAUAUGCCGUCAGCGUGUUCCUGUCUUCACGUCGCUGACAGAUCGGUCUUCGCUGACAGCCGAGCGCUUUGGAGGUCGGAGGCAAGGUGCAUCCUGUCCAUCAUGGGGGCCACAACACAAGCACGUGGUAACAGAUGGAAGGCCGCGCUUCAAACCAUAGUGCAGAGGAAGCAAAAGGAGCCAAGCCACACUUAUCCAUCACGACCACUAGAUGUCAGUGUAUGACAACAUGGGCUUGGAAGACCACUUACACCAGUUUAAAAAUUCUGGAAUUUCUGUUGAGGAAAGGGAUAUAGAAUGACUGGUAAACCACGCGUCUUUUCUUAUGACCUGGUCUUGGAUAUGGGGGUGCUGAAAAUCAAUCCUGGUACUUCACUUCAUUGUUUUUCCUCUACCAAAGCAGGACCUAUUUUAGGGGGCUGGGGCACUCUCUCAGAAAAAAAGGAUAAAAGAUGUACUUUGCUUGUCACUGCGGCUGUAUACUUUUAAGGUACAGAAAUGGUACAAAACGGUACAAUUACCUACAGCUAAAGGUAUAAUUGCCAGAUCCUUGAGGGUACAGCCCCAGUGACAAGCAAAGGUACAAAUAUUACCUUUUUUUAUUAGCGUGUACCUAUGGCAUAAAACGCUGGUGCAACAACCAUCCAUUCACACAGAAAUGUACACAAACACUCACACCAGUAGUCAAUUUGGUAACUCCAAUUAGCCUCAGCAUGCUUUUGGA